ACACUGAAAGAUGUAUAAUAGAUACUGGAAUCUUUCACCAUUUGAUUAUAGUAGGUCCAUAAUAGAAGAAUGGCAUUCAUAACCAUGAGAUACGGAUCUCGUGAUAUUUUCUAGAUAUACGAACAAUUAUUUGCAAUGGCCUCUUUGUAUGUCCUAAGAUUCCGAUCAUGACAGGCUUCAGCCUUUGCCUAUUAAACCACUCCCACGGAUCCUCCAGGU
rnacentral:lncRNA from 1 species